ensembl:lncRNA
GCCAUGUGUAGUUUGUCAGACCUGGUACCCUCCUGCAGCCAGGGGAUAGGCCUGCACCAGAUCAGAGUUGCUGCCCUCCAGGCCUCAACACUGACUCAGCGUUAAUAAGAGAGGAGUUCCAGACUCAUUGACUUCUGCAGGACAGCAUAAAGGACUCAGCCCUAGUGAAACUGUUGUCUCCAGUCUCAGCCUUUGGUUUGAGGUAAACACACAUAACAUACUUCCUUUCCCAGAUGACAUUUUGCUCUUGUGAAGGCUGUUGUACUGACAACCAGCUUUGAUCAGGAAUAAACUCUUUGUGAAGAGUGCCAAAUAUGCUGUCCUGGCAGUCUGCCCAAAGCCAGCUUUGCUGAAAUUUGCCUUAAAGAGAAGAUAUGGAAGUCUCCACACACUUAUGGCAAGUCUGUGAUGGAAACGUUCCAGACAAAGAGAUCAAGGCCUGUGCAGCAGUAGGGCGGAUGCAUGGGGAGGGAGCCCCAUGCCUGGAUGCAGGUGGCAGACUCUGGGACCAGACUUAUAGGAGCAGCUGGAGGCUGAAAAAAGUACGGCAUCUGGCACCCUGUGGCAGACCCCAAACAGAUGAGGACUUUGAUCAUUUUGGUGCCUGGAGAUCUUGCUUUACACAUCACCAGGUUGAAGCUCUGACCUUGGGGGGGGGUCAGGGGAUCCACCAAGCUGUGAGCUCUACAGACCACUACCAGACCUGAGGAAGAAGAGGAGGCACUUACUCUACCAGCUCCUGGUGAGGGGCAGAACCUCCUGUUCCUGCAAAAUGCAUGGUGUCAGGGGCAUCCUGAAUUUUGAAGUUGAAUUAUGUGAGACAUGUUGCAAACAUACCUGACAGGAACUGAUCUUCUCCAUGUGAAACCCCUGGUCUUCAAACUCACCUUAUAUGUUUGUUAAACCUCUAGGAUGAGAAGCCUGAAGAAACUCUCAUUUGGAUACAGUUUCGUGCAGGCAGUUUGCCUUUCAGGACAGGCUCAUGAUGACUGCUUAACUUUGGACUUGCCAAGAGUUUGAAACGAGAUGCCGAAAUACCACAGUCACAUGAUGGCUGUUCUUGCCACACAGUACAGGACCACAAAUGAAAAGCAGCAAAUCACCAAAAUACCAGAUGGGUGCUUGACCCAUCAUAUCCAAGCCUUUGUGCAACCCAUGGGAAUUUGUGAACGUUCUUCAAAUAAGGAAAGAUCCCAUACGUAUCUCAGGCAUUAGUGAAAUUACAUUCCAUAGGUCACAUAAAAAUAACAUGGCCCUGCAUGUCUUAAACCAAAGUGAGAAGCGCUUUUCUUCUAUAAUUAAUACUUCUGUGUUUGCCAGCAAGACUCCAGCAGCAUUGGUUCCCAGUGGAAAACUCUGUAUAAAAUCCGAACAAACAGACCAGUUAAAUUGUUGUGUUUGCUGUUUUCCAUCUCCAGCUUGGAUACACCAGAGGUUGUAUCAGGCUGCACUCAGGCAGCAUGCUGUUACAACACGAGAAGAAUAAAAACAGCACCAAAUGUUUUACUCAAAGACAGCCAUUUGUACUAUUCUCCUGGAGACAGACAGCUAUUUUCUCAUUAUUUAAAUAGGACCUAAACCCUAUAAGAGAAGCUGCAAGUAACAGUCUCCUUAUAUCUACAAAAGAAGGCUUCCCUAACUGCUGGCUCUAAACCAGCUUUUAUUUGACAGCCAUGCCAUAAUUACGUCUGGGUCAGGAGACAUCAACUGACAAAUUUUAUUUGGAAACAAUAAUUGGGGAAAGAAGCAAUAACCGGGCAGAGCUAAUUAUUUGGGAUCCAUUUUACACUCCCUCAAAAGCCUUCCACUGGUUAACAAAGGAAUUAACAUAAAAAGCACACCCUAAACAGUAUGGGAGAGAAAUAGUGCUAAAAGAUUAAGCAAAACCAGAAAAAUAUGCAAUGAGCUCUGAAAUCUCAGCUGAACGCUUUGGAGUAGGGAAGUGAAGCAGUAGCUCGAAAGUUGUUGUAACAGAUGGGGGAUUUGGCCAAUGUGCCAGGAAGGAAAGUUCCCUUUUCCGCAUCUCUGGGAGACGGGGCACCAAACUGGCCAUCCAUUCAUCUUCAUCUUGGUGUUUUCUGAAGUACUGAUCAACAAAAAGAUUAUUCUUUUAAAGUAGCUGAUCACAAACUGCACCAAGUUUUCCAACCAAUGGUUGCCGUGCCCUGAAGCCACAAGAUAUUCAAGAUAUUUGCUGAAGACAAUUUUUUGGAGCUUCUGAUAGUUCAAGC